rnacentral:rRNA from 1 species
CCUACGGGUGGCAGCAGUGAGGAAUAUUGGUCAAUGGGCGGGAGCCUGAACCAGCCAAGUCGCGUGAGGGAAGACGGUCCUAUGGAUUGUAAACCUCUUUAGGCGGGGAGCAAUGCCGGGCACGUGUGCCCGGAGGUAGAGUACCCGCAGAAUAAGCAUCGGCUAACUCCGUGCCGGCAGCCGCGGUAAUACGGAGGAUGCGAUCGUUAUCCGGAUUUAUUGGGUUUAAGGGGUGCGUAGGCGGAUUUUUAAGUCAGCGGUAAAAUGUCCGGGCUCAACCCGGGCCGGCUGUUGAAACUGGGGUGCUUGAGUGGGCGAGAAGUAGGCGGAAUGCGUGGUGUAGCGGUGAAAUGCAUAGAUAUCACGCAGAACUCCGAUUGCGAAGGCAGCAUACCGGCGCCCGACUGACGCUGAGGCACGAAAGCGUGGGGAUCGAACAGGAUUAGAUACCCGAGUAGUC